GACGAACGCUUUCGGCGUGCUUAACACAUGCAAGUCGAACGGAAAGGCCCUGCUUUUGUGGGGUGCUCGAGUGGCGAACGGGUGAGUAACACGUGAGUAACCUGCCCUUGACUUUGGGAUAACUUCAGGAAACUGGGGCUAAUACCGGAUAGGAGCUCCUGCUGCAUGGUGGGGGUUGGAAAGUUUCGGCGGUUGGGGAUGGACUCGCGGCUUAUCAGCUUGUUGGUGGGGUAGUGGCUUACCAAGGCUUUGACGGGUAGCCGGCCUGAGAGGGUGACCGGCCACAUUGGGACUGAGAUACGGCCCAGACUCCUACGGGAGGCAGCAGUGGGGAAUAUUGCACAAUGGGCGGAAGCCUGAUGCAGCAACGCCGCGUGCGGGAUGACGGCCUUCGGGUUGUAAACCGCUUUCGCCUGUGACGAAGCGUGAGUGACGGUAAUGGGUAAAGAAGCACCGGCUAACUACGUGCCAGCAGCCGCGGUGAUACGUAGGGUGCGAGCGUUGUCCGGAUUUAUUGGGCGUAAAGGGCUCGUAGGUGGUUGAUCGCGUCGGAAGUGUAAUCUUGGGGCUUAACCCUGAGCGCGCUUUCGAUACGGGUUGACUUGAGGAAGGUAGGGGAGAAUGGAAUUCCUGGUGGAGCGGUGGAAUGCGCAGAUAUCAGGAGGAACACCAGUGGCGAAGGCGGUUCUCUGGGCCUUUCCUGACGCUGAGGAGCGAAAGCGUGGGGAGCGAACAGGCUUAGAUACCCUGGUAGUCCACGCUGUAAACGGUGGGUACUAGGUGUGGGGUCCAUUCCACGGGUUCCGUGCCGUAGCUAACGCUUUAAGUACCCCGCCUGGGGAGUACGGCCGCAAGGCUAAAACUCAAAGGAAUUGACGGGGCCCCGCACAAGCGGCGGAGCAUGCGGAUUAAUUCGAUGCAACGCGUAGAACCUUACCUGGGUUUGACAUGGAUCGGGAGUGCUCAGAGAUGGGUGUGCCUCUUUUGGGGUCGGUUCACAGGUGGUGCAUGGCUGUCGUCAGCUCGUGUCGUGAGAUGUUGGGUUAAGUCCCGCAACGAGCGCAACCCUUGUUCACUGUUGCCAGCACGUUAUGGUGGGGACUCAGUGGAGACCGCCGGGGUCAACUCGGAGGAAGGUGGGGAUGACGUCAAGUCAUCAUGCCCCUUAUGUCCAGGGCUUCACGCAUGCUACAAUGGCUGGUACAGAGAGUGGCGAGCCUGUGAGGGUGAGCGAAUCUCGGAAAGCCGGUCUCAGUUCGGAUUGGGGUCUGCAACUCGACCUCAUGAAGUCGGAGUCGCUAGUAAUCGCAAAUCAGCAACGCUGCGGUGAAUACGUUCCCGGG
rnacentral:rRNA from 1 species